CCCCCCCUUCAAUCUACACACAAUACCCCAUAAUGACAAAGCAAAAACUGGUUGUUAGAAAUUGUUGCACAUUUAUUAAAAAUUAAAAACAGAAAUAUCACAUUAUUCAUAAUUAUUCAGACUCUUUACUCAGUACUUUGUUGAAGCACCUUUGGCAGCGAUUACAGCCUCGAGUCUUCUUGGGUAUGACACUACAAGCUUGGCACACCUCUAUUUGCAGAGUUUCUUCCAUUCUUCUCUGCAUUUCUUCUCAAGCUCUGUCAGGUUGGAUGGGGAGUGUCGCUGCACAGCUAUUUUCAGGUCUCUCCAGAGAUGUUCGAUUGGGUUCAAGUCCGGGCUCUGCCUGGGCCACUCAAGGACAUUCAGAGACUUGUCCUGAAGCCACUCCUGUGUUGUACUGGCUGUGUGCUUAGGGUCAUUGUCCUGUUGGAAGACGAACCUUCACCCCAGUCUGAGGUCCUGAGCGUUCUGGAGCAGAUUUUCAUCAAGGAUCGCUCUGUACUUUGCUCUGUUCAUCUUUCCCUCGAUCCUGACUAGUCUCCCAGUCCCUGCUGCUGAAAAACAUCCCCCCAGCAUGAUGCUGCCACCACGCUUCAAUGUAGGGAUGGUGCCAGGUUUCCUCCAGAUGUGACGCUUGGCAUUCAGGCCAAAGAGUUCAAUCUUGGUUUCAUCAGACCAGAGAAUCUUGUUUCUCAUGGUCUGAGAGUCUUUAGGUGCCUUUUGGCAAACUCCAAACGGGCUGUCAUAUGCCUUUUACUGAGGACUGACUUCUGUUUGGCCACUCUACCAUAAAGGCCUGAUUGGUGGAGUGCUGCAGAGAUGGUUGUCCUUCUGGAAGGUUCUCCCAUCUCCACAGAGGAACUCUGGAGAUUCUUCAGAAUGACCAUCGGGUUCUUGGUCACCUCCCUGACCAAGGCCCUUCUCCCCCCGAUUGCUCAGUUUUCCUGGGUGGCCAGCUCUAGGAAUAGUCUUGGUGUUUCCAAACUUCUGAUGGAAGCCACGUUGUUCUAUGGGACCUUCAAUGCUGCAGACAUUAUUUGGUACCCUUCCCAGUCCAAUCAAUAGAAUUUACCACAGGUGGACUCCAAUCAAGUUGUAGAAACAUCUCAAGGAUGAUCAAAGGAAACAGGAUGCACCUGGGCUCAAUACCGAGUACCAUAGCAAAGGGUCUGAAUACUUCUGUAAAUAAGAUGGAGCUGAUAAAUGCCGCUGUCGUUGUCAUGGGGAUCAUUCUGAGCUAGGUGACAGACCGGAGUGGUCCUGUGAAUAACUGCAUCUACUUUUCUCUCUCUCCUUUGCUCUUUCCUUUUAUGCAAAUACUCUUUACAAUCACGCACACACACACAACUUGUUAACUUACGCUGUUCUUAGAGUUGAGAAAAUACAGCCUUUAUCCCUUUAAUGCUGAAAUUGUAAAGGUCUUUGAAAAACAUUGUCCCUAAUCUCCUUUGCUCUGUUUUAAGCAUACUGUAUGCCAAUAAUAUACACUACCGUUCAAAAGUUUGGGGUCACUUAGAAAUGUCCUUGUUUUUGAAAGAAAAGUACAUUUUUUGUCCAUUAAAAUAACAUAACAUUUAUCAGAAAUACAGUGUAGAUAUUGUUAAUGUUGUAAAUGACUAUUGUAGCUGGAAACGGCUGAUGUUUAAUGGAAUAUCUACAUAGGUGUACAGAGGCCCAUUAUCAGCAACCAUCACUCCUGUUUUCCAAUGGCACGUUGUGGUAGCUAAUCCAAGUUUAUCAUUUUAAAAGGCCAAUUGAUCUUUAGAAAACCCUUUUGCAAUUAUGUUAGCACAGCUGAAAACUGUUGUUCUGAUUUUAAAAAAGCAAUAAAACUGUCCUUCACAGGACAAAUUAAAAGACAAAAGAUAUCCAAUGAUUCUUUCAAAUCCUGAAAAAAAUGACUGACCACAAUUUUUUUUCUCCCUUACCUGGAUUGCGCUGGUUGCCGGCAGCUGUCGUUGGGCGUUGCUAUGGCAGCCCUAGCAGAAGAUUGCUGCUGCACACCUCUGGUUGCCAAGCUGCUGCUGUUGUUAGGGAUAGCCUCCAGAAGUCUGCCAUUUCCUGCAGAGACAGAGAGACACCAGCAAUCAGCCACUCAGUCUCAGACACCUGCCUCAGCUCAGUCAGCACUUUAUCUCCCCCUCUCAGUAUUCCACACAGGGACACAGGAAUUCACAUCGCACAAUGAGCUGAUUGCUUCCCAGGGCCUCAUGGGUUUCUGCUUACAUUUUCAUCACAAUCUCUUUCUUCUGUAGAUCAUUUGCUAUACUACCUACAUUGUGUGUUCAUGUUCUAGAUUAAAGAUUUGUCACACAGAAA